CGGAUGAACGCUAGCGACAGGCCUAACACAUGCAAGUCGAGGGGCAGCAUAAAGGUAGCAAUACUUUGGUGGCGACCGGCGCACGGGUGAGUAACACGUAUGCAACCUACCUGUAAGAGGGGAAUAACCCGGAGAAAUUCGGACUAAUACCGCAUAAUACUGAUUAUCUGCAUGGAUUGAUCAGUUAAACAUUUAUGGCUUACAGAUGGGCAUGCGUAUGAUUAGAUAGUUGGUAGGGUAACGGCCUACCAAGUCAACGAUCAUUAGGGGUUCUGAGAGGAAGGUCCCCCACACUGGUACUGAGACACGGACCAGACUCCUACGGGAGGCAGCAGUGAGGAAUAUUGGUCAAUGGGCGAGAGCCUGAACCAGCCAAGUCGCGUGAAGGAAGAAGGUUCUAUGGAUUGUAAACUUCUUUUGUAAGGGAAUAAAAAGAGUUACGUGUAACUUAUUGUAUGUACUUUACGAAUAAGGAUCGGCUAACUCCGUG
rnacentral:rRNA from 1 species